UUUGUUGUAAUGCUAUUACAUGCCACCAUCUUUUCUUUGAGGUCAUUUAUCUUCAUUGCAAUAGUUUAAUAUAAGAAAUAAUUUUUUAAAAAGAUGGUGAUAAUUACACUGCUGGAUCAAUAACCUAUACUUUAAAACUACAAAACUUUUAUCUUUUCCUUCUAUAUUAUACAAAAAUAUCUAAAAUAUGUCAUUUAGAAUACAUAUAUACGUGGCAAUACAAACAUAUAUAUGUACAUUAAUUUAUCAUCAUGCUGUUCUCGGAAAGAUCUGCAAUUUCAUAAAUUUAUCUAGAUUUGUUAAAGUGGAUUGAGAUUUUUGUUUAUUGUAUAUAAAUACCACUAAAUCACUAAAUGUCUUAGGUAACAGAUAUUAAAUGAAGACAUGACAUUUCAGCUAAUGAAGCAAAGCCACUUAUCUUGAAAUUUUCUUGCUACAGAAAGAGAAACCUUUAAAAAUGGCCUUAAGUUUGCAAAAAUCAGCAACUUUAAUCUACCCACUUUCUUUUGACCUUUACACUCAACCUGAAAAAAAUGUUCAGCAACAUAAAUUUGAUCUCAAAAGGCUGCUGCAGAUCUCAUUUUCUGCUGUUUUUCCAUUAGGUAUUUAUGGGACUUGCGAGUGCUACAAGGGACUAGUAAAACACCAGAGUAAUCCUGCAGUUCCUGUGUAUGAAUUCAACUUUUCCCUUUGAGAUGAUAACUUUUUCCCGAUUCUAGCCAAGGCCUUUUCAGAUUCAAAUUUAAAACUAAGACUAUAGGUGUAAUGUUCUUUUCAAGAGGUAGGAUAGGUAAGUAGGGACUGAAGGCAGACGGAAAGAAAAUUAAACAGAUUUAGUAGUUCAACUAUUGAAACAAAAUAAUUUUUUAAGCUAUUAAGGUAACUUGUUAUAUAUUUGUACUAACUGAAAUCACAGCAUGCUUAUACAGGAUAGAAACUGAAUCCAAUGAGUUCUGAAGUUUGAAGAGUUCAGCUGUAUGCAUGCCUUCUCUUAACUGCAUAGGAAACCAGCUGCUUCCAUUUAUGACACGUAUUGAACACACAUGCUCCAGUACAUCCAUGACAUAACACGCAACAGUAUACUUUCAGACAAGUUUGCCAAGAAAGGGGAAGAGGGAUAUGAAUACAU